rnacentral:lncRNA from 1 species
ACUCUUGCGUGCCUCUGCUGCCUCCUGGUGGCAGCCCCGAGUCACUUCCAGCAGGGCCCCCCACCCCAAGGGCCCAGCCUCGGGCAGGAAGGGUACAAAGCCCCCGCCGUGGCUCUGCCACGAGGUCUCCUGGAAAUGAGGGGAACAGCACAGCGACGUCCUUGCGGCCUAAAUGCAUCCCCUGAUGGCCGUUUUUCGCCACGCAGGCUUGGCAAAAUCUCUGCGUCACUGAGCAGCAUUUUAACCUCUUGAAUGAGAUGCCUCCGACCUUUUGGAUCCUCUUUCUGCACCUCUCAGGGGACAGGUAAAGCCGCUCCUUCUUGUUGAGGCCGCCCCCAGCCCGCUGAGAGGCCUCAGGGAGGCAGAGACCCAGCCGUGGGCUGCCCACACCUCAGCCCCACCCCAGGGAGGCCUGGGACUCGGGAAACGCCCGGACAGUCCCGAGAAGGUGCCGGACAGACACCGGGUACCCCAAGGGCGGGGGCGGUCCAGAGACGCCGCACACCCCUUCCUGUGACCUGUCUCCCGUACAGGGUCUUUGUGUCUGGUCUGGGCGUCCGGACCCGAAGGUCACUGUUNNNNNNNNNNNNNNNNNNNNNNNNNNNNNNNNNNNNNNNNNNNNNNNNNNNNNNNNNNNNNNNNNNNNNNNNNNNNNNNNNNNNNNNNCAAUGAUGUGGCAGCGCCUCCACAGCAUGGGACCAGGGGGACCCCACAUGGAGGAAGGGACUUCCAUCCAUGCAGCCUUUCCUGCGGGACAGCAGCCCUUUUCCCAGUGCUCACCAUGCACGGUCCAGCUGCCAUCCUCAGCCCAGGGCAGCGACAGAGGGUGUGUCCAUGUCCCCGCAGGCUCCUGCAAGGUGAUGCGUCUGGCCAUAAGUCCCACUUCCUUCUCCCACCUGCUGGCCUGUGCCCAGCAGUUCCGGAAGCAGACCCAGGCCCAGGUGUACAGCGAGGACAUGGCCCUGAACAUAGGCUCGGUGAGGACCUCCAGGCUCCAAGCCACCCAGCCGGGACCCUCUGCUCCCCACCCCUGAGAGCCAGGACCCUGGCGAGGUGGGGGGAGGGGCAGGGCGCUAGGCCAGGCUGCUGAAGGGCUUGGGCCAUCCCAACACCCGGGCACUGCCCAACUCCCAGGCCAAGCUCCAUGUGGGGGGAGAACUUGCUCCAUGUGGGGGGAGAACUUGCUCCAUGUCGGGGGAGAACUUGCUCCUUGGGCUCCUUGGCCAUGUCUGAUCCCUGAAGCACAAACAGGAGGGGCCCGGCCCACUCUGCUCCGCAGAGCUCAGGGUCACCUGGGCCCAGCUGUCCCCACAGGCAGGACCCUCUGUGGUGCGGGCAGAGGAGAUGGGUGGGGGCUGGGGUCUCAGGGUGACCCUCCAGAGGAUGGGCCAGGUGCUGUGGGGCCCUCGUUGCCGAGCCAGGUGCCCUUGUCAACCAUGCUGUUUGCAGAAGGAGCAGGAGCUCGGCCUUUCUGCAGGGGCCUGGCCCUCGCGGGGUCUGGGCCAUGCGCCCUGUUUGCUACGGGGGCCUCUUUUUUUGGAUUGCGGUAGGAGCCAGAAGGCCUGCAGGUGGAAGAGAAGGAGCGCCCUGUGCAGAGGCUCAGUAGCGUCCUGGGGCCUCUGGAGGAGCUUCUGCAGCCGCUAUUCCCCCUGCUCAGCCUCCCAAGGGACCGCCCCGGCUGCUUUGAUUUGGGGUGGGAAGGAAGGCAGAGGGGACGGACACCUGGCACCAUUUAGCUUGGCUGGUGGAUCAGAGAUGAUCCCAAAAUCCUGUGGCUCAUCCCAGCCCCACCUCAGUGGGACCAUCCCCAGAAGUGAGUGUGGGGAUUCGUGGUCCCUCUGGGUAGGAGGCUCUGUGCCAAGCCUCCUGAGAGCACCACGGAACCCAGCACAGCCACCUUCGGGUGGGUGGAUUGUCAGUCCCGCCACACCACACGUGCUUGCUAACAAAAAGAAUCGUGUGGAGGGACAGGCGUGAUGGGAGGCUGUUCCUCGCCCCAUUCUGGGAUAGUCCUGGUCGCAGACAGACAUCUCCUGGAGCUGCCACUGGAAGGUCUCUCUGUGUUCGAUGAAGGGACAAUUUCCUCUGUGUCAAGAGAAUUUUCUCUUCAAAUGCUGUGGAAUCGCCUCCAUAAAGAAGAGACAGGUAGGAACUGCCCUCAGCCACCUUAAUGUGUAAUUUUAAAAUGGAAAUAUUUAAAUUAUUUUUCAGAUGAAACGUUAGCUCCUAUCAAAAAAUAAUCAUCAAAUUUUGCAACAUUUUUCUAGGCAUUUAUUCAUUCAAAGAUAUUUGUAGGAUAUAAAUACUCACCACCCUGGGCAACAUGGUGAGAGUGCAUCUCUACAAGAAAGUUUAAAAUUAGCCGGGCAUGGUGGUGUGCACCUGUGGUCCCGGCUACUCAGGAGGCUGGGAGGUGGGAGGAUGGUUUGAGCCUGGGAGACUGAGGCUUUGGGGAGCUGAGAUGGCGCCACUGCACU